GGCAAUCUGGCCGAGUUGGUCUAAGGCGUGAGAUUAAGGUUCUCAUCUCUUCGGAGGCCUGGGUUCGAAUCCCAGGGUUGUCA
rfam:Lipomyces starkeyi NRRL Y-11557 unplaced genomic scaffold LIPSTscaffold_16, whole genome shotgun sequence.